AUUGAACGCUGGCGGCAUGCCUUACACAUGCAAGUCGAACGGCAGCACGGGAGCAAUCCUGGUGGCGAGUGGCGAACGGGUGAGUAAUACAUCGGAACGUGCCCAAUCGUGGGGAUAACUACGCGAAAGCGUAGCUAAUACCGCAUACGAUCUACGGAUGAAAGCAGGGGAUCGCAAGACCUUGCGCGAAUGGAGCGGCCGAUGGCAGAUUAGGAGUUGGUGAGGUAAAGGCUCACCAAGCCUUCGAUCUGUAGCUGGUCUGAGAGGACGACCAGCCACACUGGGACUGAGACACGGCCCAG
rnacentral:rRNA from 1 species